GGAAGGGGGGUCGGAGGAGAGGUGAGAGGUUGCAGUUCAGAAGCAAGGAAGAUGCUGUAGCGCCUUUACAUCCGUCUCUCAUACGGAGAAAAAGGAGUGGUUGAAUAAAAACCAGGAGAGCGCGAAAGAGAAAGGAAUUGGGGGCGUUUCCCAGCGAUAUUUUUUUACAAUCAGCGUGGGUACAGUGAGGCAUGGACUUGCUCGAGAAACCUGAACAAAGGUGGAAGUGGAGAAACGGGAAACGGUUGCCGAGCACUCGCCGUGUGGGUGAUUGGCAACCUUGACAACGGAGAGAUGGAAUGACACUUGACCUCACGUGCUGAAUGGACAGAGAGAGACAUGGAGAGACCGAGCGAGAAGGAGACAUGAAGGGAAACUGAUAAUAAUUCUUCAUUGUAUAAUCGCCCCCCACCCGCUUCUCGCAAGGCAUCAUCAAUACCUCCAGCUGAGGCCCAGGCACUCUACACAGUAACACACAUGCAUGGACACGCACUCGCAGAGAAGCAAGCUGUGCCACUCCACAUCGAAUCUAUGAGCUCUCUGUGCCGCUUACCUCGGCUGCAGCACUGUGUUUUGGAUUGGAGGAUAACUCCCGUCGGCCGGGAGAGAACGGAGUGGGAGAGGGGAAACAGGCUCCGGAAUGAUCCAAUAUAACUCAAACCUGUUCUUAUGGCCGCACCUGUUGAAGUGUAUUAGAGGUUAAUGCCAACUUUGAAUGUGAUUCGGUUUCAUUAUUGCAUUUCGUUCACCGGUUUUGAUAUAAUUAGACACCAUGUCGAAUUUCUCCCUUUAAGAAGUGCAGUGUAAAACCUGUUUUGUUCCACCAGCUCUUUAUCCAUCACUUCUCCUAAGGCAAUCCACACUUCAUUUAUGGUGCUAAUGUGUGCGUGUACCUGUGUCGUAACUAGCCUAUCCAUAGGUCAUUCCCAUGCCAAAAACCUGUUAAACGGUAUAUCCCCAAUCAAUGUAAAUCUAUAUUUUAAACAUCUUUUUAUCUUUGCUGGGUUAACUCCAUUCAUAUCAUUUACCAAUGCAAUCACUAUCACUUUUGGGUAAUCCAAUAAUUUGAUACAUUUCAUCUCCAGCCACAUGGGGGCACUUUAGGCUUGUUUUCUAGGUCCAGUUGCAUGGUAUUGAAGCCUUCAUCGACUUUCGAAAAACCUGUAUACACUAUGUUACUUCAGAACCGAUUCUAUGUUAGAUGAUUCAAAUGCAAAUGAAUGUAGCCGUACAAUUUUUAAAAUGUAACACAAUGUGCCAUGUCCCCUCAGGUAUUUCUAAAAUCCCACCGGUUACGACAUUGCAAUGUCACACGAUGCAUAAAUAAACAUGCUAAAUUUUCAACAAUCAAUGUAACCAUGGCCUUCCAAGUAAUUUUACCACCCCAUCAUAUUUGGAAAUUAGAUGACUAAAGUUGCCUUCAGCUUUUCAGUGGACCUUUAAUGUAUGUGACUGUGUUAGUGUUUGUUAUGUUGUCUGGGCACAGCUUAACUGUUCAUGAGCUUCCAACUAAAUUGAUAUAGUGUACAAUAAUGAUAUUCUAAACACAGACAUACUCAUUGUAGGUAAACUAAAUACAUCACUUUAUUUGUCAUUUGGAAGAAAAACAAAUUUACAAAGGGCAACCAAUUCCAAAUAAUUGGCUAUUAUUACUAUAAGAAUCUAACAGCUUUUUGUUAUAUCCAAUAUAACAACUGCUCUUUAUUCGAAAAAUGAUACUGGUAAAUUCAAGAUCAUU